rnacentral:rRNA from 1 species
UGGGGAAUUUUGGACAAUGGGGGCAACCCUGAUCCAGCCAUGCCGUGUGAGUGAAGAAGGCCUUCGGGUUGUAAAGCUCUUUCGGCCGGGAAGAAAUCGCGCCAGCUAAUACCUGGUGUGGAUGACGGUAUCGGAAGAAGAAGUACUGGCUAACUACGUGCUAGCAGUCGUGGUAAUACGUAGGGUGCGAGCGUUAAUCGGAAUUACUGGGCGUAAAGCGUGCGCAGGCGGUUUUGUAAGACAGGUGUGAAAUCCCCGGGCUUAACCUGGGAACUGCGCUUGUGAUUGCAAGACUUGAGUGCGGCAGAGGGGGGUGGAAUUCCGACGUGUAGCAGUGAAAUGCGUAGAGAUGUGAGGAACACCGAUGGCGAAGGCAGCUCCUUGGGUCGACACUGACGCUCA